GACGAACGCUGGCGGCGUGCUUAACACAUGCAAGUCGAACGGAAAGGCCCUGCUUUUGUGGGGUGCUCGAGUGGCGAACGGGUGAGUAACACGUGAGUAACCUGCCCUUGACUUUGGGAUAACUUCAGGAAACUGGGGCUAAUACCGGAUAGGAGCUCCUGCUGCAUGGUGGGGGUUGGAAAGUUUCGGCGGUUGGGGAUGGACUCGCGGCUUAUCAGCUUGUUGGUGGGGUAGUGGCUUACCAAGGCUUUGACGGGUAGCCGGCCUGAGAGGGUGACCGGCCACAUUGGGACUGAGAUACGGCCCAGGCUCCUACGGGAGGCAGCAGUGGGGAAUAUUGCACAAUGGGCGGAAGCCUGAUGCAGCAACGCCGCGUGCGGGAUGACGGCCUUCGGGUUGUAAACCGCUUUCGCCUGUGACGAAGCGUGAGUGACGGUAAUGGGUAAAGAAGAACCGGCUAACUACGUG
rnacentral:rRNA from 1 species